GACGAACGCUGGCGGCGUGCUUAACACAUGCAAGUCGAACGGAAAGGCCCUGCUUUUGUGGGGUGCUCGAGUGGCGAACGGGUGAGUAACACGUGAGUAACCUGCCCUUGACUUUGGGAUAACUUCAGGAAACUGGGGCUAAUACCGGAUAGGAGCUCCUGCUGCAUGGUGGGGGUUGGAAAGUUUCGGCGGUUGGGGAUGGACUCGCGGCUUAUCAGCUUGUUGGUGGGGUAGUGGCUUACCAAGGCUUUGACGGGUAGCCGGCCUGAGAGGGUGACCGGCGACAUUGGGACUGAGAUACGGCCCAGACGCCUACGGGAGGCAGCAGUGGGGAAUAUUGCACAAUGGGCGGACGCCUGAUGCAGCAACGCCGCGUGCGGGAUGACGGCCUUCGGGUUGUAAACCGCUUUCGCCUGUGACGAAGCGUGAGUGACGGUAAUGGGUAAAGAAGCACCGGCUAACUACGUG
rnacentral:rRNA from 1 species